AGCGAACGCUGGCGGCAGGCUUAACACAUGCAAGUCGAACGGGCGCAGCAAUGCGUCAGUGGCAGACGGGUGAGCAACACGUGGGAACGUGCCUUUCGGUUCGGAACAACUGAGGGAAACUUCAGCUAAUACCGGAUACGCCCGCAAGGGGAAAGAUUUAUCGCCGAAAGAUCGGCCCGCGUCUGAUUAGCUAGUUGGUGGGGUAAUGGCCCACCAAGGCGACGAUCAGUAGCUGGUCUGAGAGGAUGAUCAGCCACACUGGGACUGAGACACGGCCCAGACUCCUACGGGAGGCAGCAGUGGGGAAUAUUGGACAAUGGGGGAAACCCUGAUCCAGCCAUGCCGCGUGAGUGAUGAAGGCCCUAGGGUUGUAAAGCUCUUUCGGUGGGGAAGAUAAUGACGGUACCCACAGAAGAAGCCCCGGCUAACUUCGUGCCAGCCGCCGCAGUAA
rnacentral:rRNA from 1 species